GUGUGUGUAUAUAUAAAUUUCAACACAUUGUCUAUAAUCCUCUUAUAUAUACUGAGUAACAAUGUGUUGAAAUUUUGAGAAAUGUAUAUAUAAAUAGAGAUUAUUGUAGCACUCAUGGCCUUUUAGUAAUUAAAAAAAGACUCUUUAUUAUACCAUACGGAUAAUCACUAUACUUUGUGGUAAAAUAAGCCUGGUCAACAUUUCAGUCCCCAUCCGAGACUUUCCUCAGGACCCCCCUCCACUCAUUUAUUGGAAUUUAUCAGACUUCAUUUUUCCCAUUCUUAUAAUUUCAUAUAAUAGAGUCCCACCUCCUACUCAGCUGUCAAUCAGAGAGGAGAGACCCUAGAGUACCUUUCUAUAUCACAAUAGUAUACUCUUAACUGCCUGUCUUGCAUUUCACUUAGCAGUAAAUCUAUAUUGUCCAUGCACAAAUAUUAAAGACUAUUAAGUGUAUAGGCCAUUUUGAGACACUGGUUUUAUUCUAAACUAAAUACAUUUUUAUUCAACUGAUUUUAAUCUGAAAGUUAAUCAAGCAGGAUCAUUGUGACCGGAUUCAUAAAAAGUGCCUACUUAGGCUUUUGAGUAGUCAUCUUCAUUCAAUCUCUUUUGUCUUUUAUCUCCACACAUUUCAAAUGCCAGACCACAUAUAAUACUCAGAAGGUAGUUAUAUUUUACCAAGACUUGUGAUGUACCUAAUCCAAGCUAUCACUUUUUGCAUGAAUAAAGCACAUUUUUAAUUGCUUUGUCUGAAUAUAAGAUAAGUAUGGUAUUUUAGGAAUGACUAACCUUUACUGAGCAGGAAAGGAAUUCUGUUUAUGCCUGAGGCAGGUCCAAUUUGUAGAUGGAACUAGAUGGAUGGCUCCAAGUUGGCAUGUACCUUUCAUGUAUUAAUAUACUAUCUACCAUUUACUGGAGACAAGAACUUCAGGAAGGGAGUGGGAGUACUAAGACAAGGAAAUGUGUAAUGUGACUUUUUGUAACUCCUUAAAAAAAAGCAUGAUUAAAAAAAGACGUAGCAAAAUAUAUUUCAUAUGCCUUGAAUUGCCUGCAGAUACAUGCAUGUCUGUCCGUUAAUUGAACCUGUCAAAACAUAAUUUACUUUUGUUUAAGAGUGAAAACAAUGGGUAUUAAACUUUUUGUUUAAAUCUCGCUCCUUUACUAUAAGCAAAAGUUAAAAUGAUGCAUCUAGUUAUGCUGGUUAAAUCACAUAUACUCGCUGGUUUUCAUUCAUCGCCACAUGACUACAGUGGGAAACAUUUGUUUAUAUAUAAUCUGUACAGGACAUCUUAGAAGGAUUCUGUUUAAAACAAAGUCAACUGAACAACGUUUUAACCGACCAUUAGAAAUGUGGGCAACAUGUAUACUUCUAAUUAAAAGAUGAUGGUGUCCUGUUCAAAAUAAAGCAACAUGAAUCUUCAAAAG